CAGUAGCCACGGGAAUACGAAGGGGGCUAGCGUUGUUCGGAUUUACUGGGCGUAAAGCGCACGUAGGCGGACUUUUAAGUCAGGGGUGAAAUCCCGGGGCUCAACCCCGGAACUGCCUUUGAUACUGGAAGUCUUGAGUAUGGUAGAGGUGAGUGGAAUUCCGAGUGUAGAGGUGAAAUUCGUAGAUAUUCGGAGGAACACCAGUGGCGAAGGCGGCUCACUGGACCAUUACUGACGCUGAGGUGCGAAAGCGUGGGGAGCAAACAGGAUUAGAGACCCCAGUAGUCCCUGUCUCUUAUAC
rnacentral:rRNA from 1 species